GGAAAAUAACCUGGAUUAUUUGUUUAUUUUUUUUAGGUGCAUUUCUUGAUCAGCCGCACUUCAAUCGUAUUCUAUCUGUCAGAUGUGCGUUUUGGUACCUGAAGACUUCAAAGUAUUGCAUUGCUUGUGCUGCUCCGAUGAUUUGCUCUACACCAGUUGAUCAGAUUCAGCAGAAUAUAUAAGGUCAAGUUUUGGAAACUUAAUUUAGAUGGUUUUUUGCGAAGCGUUUUAUUUUGAUGAAUAUCCUAACUCAGGAUUCCCUCUUCUGAGUAGAACCCUAAACAACCAUGCUGUUCACUUUUCCCUGUCUGAACAUAAAACGCUUAACAAUUACAAUUAUUUGCAUGUUACCAAAGACUAUACAAUACCAAGAUGUCGCAUGAG